rnacentral:rRNA from 1 species
UGCGCGCUACCAUGCAAGUCGAACGGUAGCACAGAAGGAGCUUGCUCCUUGGGUGACGAGUGGCGGACGGGUGAGUAAUGUCUGGGAAACUGCCCGAUGGAGGGGGAUAACUACUGGAAACGGUAGCUAAUACCGCAUAACGUCGCAAGACCAAAGAGGGGGACCUUCGGGCCUCUUGCCAUCGGAUGUGCCCAGAUGGGAUUAGCUAGUAGGUGGGGUAACGGCUCACCUAGGCGACGAUCCCUAGCUGGUCUGAGAGGAUGACCAGCCACACUGGAACUGAGACACGGUCCAGACUCCUACGGGAGGCAGCAGUGGGGAAUAUUGCACAAUGGGCGCAAGCCUGAUGCAGCCAUGCCGCGUGUAUGAAGAAGGCCUUCGGGUUGUAAAGUACUUUCAGCGAGGAGGAAGGCGUUGUGGUUAAUAACCGCAGCGAUUGACGUUACUCGCAGAAGAAGCACCGGCUAACUCCGUGCCAGCAGCCGCGGUAAUACGGAGGGUGCAAGCGUUAAUCGGAAUUACUGGGCGUAAAGCGCACGCAGGCGGUCUGUCAAGUCGGAUGUGAAAUCCCCGGGCUCAACCUGGGAACUGCAUCCGAAACUGGCAGGCUAGAGUCUUGUAGAGGGGGGUAGAAUUCCAGGUGUAGCGGUGAAAUGCGUAGAGAUCUGGAGGAAUACCGGUGGCGAAGGCGGCCCCCUGGACAAAGACUGACGCUCAGGUGCGAAAGCGUGGGGAGCAAACAGGAUUA